AUCCAAUUGACGAGUCCCAUAUAGGACAAGACGUGCGUUCUGGAU
rfam:Schistosoma curassoni strain Dakar, Senegal genome assembly, scaffold: SCTD_scaffold0001864